UACGGAGGGUGCAAACGUUGUUCGGAAUCAUUGGGCGUAAAGGGCGCGUAGGUGGCGAUUUGUGUCUGAUGUGAAAGGCCGGGGCUUAACUCCGGAAGUGCGUCGGAAACUGCAUCACUUGAGUCUCGGAGAGGAUAACGGAAUUCCUGGUGUAGCGGUGAAAUUCGUAGAUAUCAGGAGGAACACCAGUGGCGAAGGCGGCUAUCUGGACCGUGACUGACGCUGAGGCGAGAAAGCGUGGGGAGCAAACAGG
rnacentral:rRNA from 1 species